rnacentral:rRNA from 1 species
UACAGAGACCUCAAGCGUUAUCCGGAAUUAUUGGGCGUAAAGCGUCCGCAGGUGGUCUGAUAAGUCAGGGGUUAAACUUACGCGCUUAACGUGAAGAUUGCUUUUGAAACUGUCAGACUAGAGUAUGGGAGAGGUAAGCAGAAUUCUAGGUGUAGUCGUAAUAAGCGUUGAUAUCUAGAAGAAUACCAAAUGCGAAGGCAGCUUACUGGAACAUUACUGACACUCAUGGACGAAAAGCGUGGGA